rnacentral:rRNA from 1 species
AGUGAACGCUGGCGGCAGGCCUAAUACAUGCAAGUCGAACGGCAGCACAGCAGAGCUUGCUCUGUGGGUGGCGAGUGGCGGACGGGUGAGGAAUACAUGGGAAUCUGCCCAGUCGUGGGGGAUAACGUAUGGAAACGUACGCUAAUACCGCAUGCGCCCUUUGGGGGAAAGCCGGGGACCUUCGGGCCUGGCGCGAUUGGAUGAGCCCAUGUUCGAUUAGCUAGUUGGCGGGGUAAAGGCCCACCAAGGCGACGAUCGAUAGCUGGUCUGAGAGGAUGAUAAGCCACACUGGGACUGAGACACGGCCCAGACUCCUACGGGAGGCAGCAGUAGGGAAUAUUGGACAAUGGGCGCAAGCCUGAUCCAGCCAUGCCGCGUGAGUGAAGAAGGCCCUCGGGUUGUAAAGCUCUUUUGUCCGGAAAGAAAAGCAUUCGGUUAAUACCCGGGUGUUCUGACGGUACCGGAAGAAUAAGCACCGGCUAACUUCGUG